rnacentral:rRNA from 1 species
UGCAGUCGAGCGGAUGAAGGGAGCUUGCUCCUGGAUUCAGCGGCGGACGGGUGAGUAAUGCCUAGGAAUCUGCCUGGUAGUGGGGGAUAACGUCCGGAAACGGGCGCUAAUACCGCAUACGUCCUGAGGGAGAAAGUGGGGGAUCUUCGGACCUCACGCUAUCAGAUGAUCCUAGGUCGGAUUAACUAAUUGGUGGGGUAAAGGCCUACCAAGGCGACGAUCCGUAACUGGUCUGAGAGGAUGAUCAUUCACACUGGAACUGAGACACGGUCCAGACUCCUACGGGAGGCAGCAGUGGGGAAUAUUGGACAAUGGGCGAAAGCCUGAUCCAGCCAUGCCGCGUGUGUGAAGAAGGUCUUCGGAUUGUAAAGCACUUUAAGUUGGGAGGAAGGGCAGUAAGUUAAUACCUUGCUGUUUUGACGUUACCAACAGAAUAAGCACCGGCUAACUUCGUGCCAGCAGCCGCGGUAAUACCAAGGGUGCAAGCGUUAAUCGGAAUUACUGGGCGUAAAGCGCGCGUAUGUGGGUCAGCAAGUUGGAUGUGAAAUCCCCGGGCUCAACCUGGGAACUGCAUCCAAAACUACUGAGCUAGAGUACGGUAGAGGGUGGUGGAAUUUCCUG